CAAGGGACUAUUUCAGCCGCCAUUACAAGAUGAAUGGCGACCUCCCGCCGCUCCGCCUGACCUGGUCUCUGUCUUCGUAACCCCUGGGAUAGACGGUUGCUCCGCAGUUACACAGAUAACGUUGACAACUGCCUAUGACCCUCAUCUUACUCAAAAUUUCAGGGUAGAAAGGGUCCCUUUAACUCCUGAAGACAGUAAAUCACAGUUUGUGUGGCGGUUCUCAGAAGACACUUAAAGGACUGAGUUGGAUGUUCUACAUAGCACCCUUGCCAAAAGGGUUCGGAAAUGACUUCCAGCUUCCCACAGUAAUAAAAUGGCAAUGUUUGGCAUCUUUAAGACUACACAAUGCUACCAACUGACAACAAACAUUUAAUAAAGGAAGACCACCUUUCAGAAAGAGAACUUCAACUUUAGAAGCUUGUCAACCAAAGGCACGGGAUAUAGCUUUCUAUUGCAUAUUUCAACUGUACCAGAAGUGGAAAUUAUAGCCGUUUUAACCAGAAAAACACAAGACUGAUACUUUUUCCAUAGAGUCCAACCCACAUUUGUCUCUGUUUAUAUGCUGCAAUUAGAAGGCUAUUACAAACAAAUUAGUAGUAUCGUGGAAGAAUUUUUAAUGACUUGCUGAUUUCAACUAUUGCCAAAUACCUUCAUCUACUCAUCACAUUCUUAAUUAAGAGACGCCCGUAUGUGUGUGUGUGUGUGUGUGUGUGUGUGUGUACGCGUUUACAUAAUCCAUGUUAAAAUUACACAAUAGUAGUUAGUUAGAGGCUAGUCCAUUAGUUAAGUAGGUAAAACCAUGAAAGAGGGUAAAAAGAUUAUUACAGAAGAAGCAGGAUAUAGACACACCCAGUUGAACAAUAGUAGGGAGGGAAGACUCCCUAAAAAAAAA